GCCUUUUUGGCACAGUAGGCAGCGCGUCAGUUUCAUAAUCUCGGGGUUCUGAGUUCGAGCCACAGAGAAGGCA
rfam:Rattus norvegicus chromosome 17, whole genome shotgun sequence.